AUAUCACUCUCUUAGUCAUCUUCACAGGUUUUGCGAUGGGUAACUACGCUCUUGCUAAUGAAUUGAAUAAAUUUUACAUUUAAGAAAAUCAAACCAUUUGCAGAAGUCGAAGGGAAUCCGUUGGGUUUACCCAGGAGCGAAUCACUGAUUGAAAUAGGGGACACAACCGAUUACGUACGAGAGGUGCGUUUCUUCCAUCACAUUAAGAACUUUUUGGAAGGAUUUUUUGGUUAAUUGUCUACUGGGCGAGCCAAACUCAUUUCCAACGAAUUUCUGCCUGCCACGUCAAGCAAGCAACGAAUGUUUUCGAUCAGACUCAUUGUUCAUCAGAAGAAACCAAACUGUCAGCCUACAAUUAAACAGUUGAAGUUGAAUUUUGCAUCAAAACCGCCAAACUAGUGAGAAUAUUCGACAGCAAUCAUGUAGAAAACUAUAUCAAAGCCUUGUCAGUUGCCACAUCCUUUUGAGUUGCAUGUCUUGACUUUUUCUGGUUCUCCAUUAUACAUAUAAAAACACAGAAAAAAAAAAAAAAAAACAACCAAAAAACAAAUUAGAAUGUAAACUUCUGGCUAUCAAAUACCACAAUUUCCUUUGCUUGAUAUAAUUUUUUACAGAAAACCAUUAAUGCAACAUCCUUCACCAAACCCAAUAUACAGUUGACAUCCAGCAUACACCAAACAGACUCGUCUGAAACUUGUCAGUGUUAAGACUUCACAAAAAAAUGGCAUUUAGAAACAAUCUCGCUUGGCUUCUUGUUUUAAGCGUCGCUCUCCUACUCGUUGCAGGAGUCUUGACAAACCCAAUAGAUACUAUCGAAGGCGAUGAAUCAGACUUAAAUCAAGAUUGGAACCCCGUGAAUUUUAACGAUGAAAGGGAGGAACGUAAAUGGUGGAAGAAAGUGUUUAAGCACGGCAAGAACUUUAUAUCCGGAUUUUUCGGUUAAUUACGAAGGCAUUUCAUGACUUAGACAAGCUUCCACCACAUUUAUUAUUAUACUUGCUUCAUGUGCUCACUUUAUCAGCGUAUCAAUACAACAAGCACAAAUAA